CUUUUUUGUGCCUUUGGCUACGACUCUGGCCCUUCUCUUCUGCAGGUGCUCAGGAGGCCAUCUGCUCACAACCGGUGAAACGUGGCGGGGCCCAGACUCUCCGCCAGCGCCUCGAAGCCCAGCUCCAGGAGUCGGGGAGACCUGACCCCCUGCUUUUGGAUGCUCUUGUAGCUGAAGUGAUAGUCGUGUUUAGGAGGGUGCUGAAGACAGGCAGUCAAAGGUCAUGGUUGCACCUGCUUUAUGUUUUGCAGCUGCUCAGACCCUUUCAGGAGCAGCUGGGUGGCCACAAGGAGCUGCUGCCCUUGCUGAAGAGCCUCUGCCAGCAAUAUCACAAUGGCCAGGCCUUCGUCCCUGACCUGGAUAUCUUAGGGGCUAUAGGUGAAGUGUUUCCUAAGGCUCACCUGAUGCUGGAUGCAGGAGUCAGGGAGCCAGAGCCUUCAGCCAGGCUGUUGCUCAAUGGCUCAGGGCCGGUGUUCGCAGAACGUCCUGGCCCAUCUGUCUUGGAGAGAGAAACAAAAGAUCGAGCAAUAACAUCAUCACUGGAUCCAGAGUCCUCACAGGAGCUGCAGAGGCCACUUUCAGAUACAGGCAAAAAGGCUACAGGAUCUGUCCUGCAGGGCUUGGAAGAAGAUGAUGCCUCAUCCCAGCUGCCCCUGACUGGCCUCCAAGCAUGUGAGACUUUCAUGAGAAACAGAGACUUGGGAAAAAUUGACUGUGCCUACCUAAAUGUUGCCCCCAGCAGACACUUCCGGUAACUAGUGGUUUGCUACUCGAAGAAUAGAAUUAAUGAGUACAGUUGAAGAAAGAUCUGAAUUACAAGAUUCAGUGACAAGAAUCUUAAAGAAACCAAGAUGAUAUGGAAUAAUAGAGCAAGUUCUUUUCAUGGUUAAAGAUUAGAAAUGGAGGGUAGACACAAAUGAUUGGCUUUGACAAGUCGAGGGGGUCACAAGUGAAGAGCCACAGAGAUCUGUUAUGGCCUGUGUGGACCAGUGCAUUCCCCUGUGACCUGGAAAGGGGGCAAGAUUUGCUGAUGACGCUGUGUCCAACAUAUUUAAAAAAGGGUUGGGAGACCACAGAGAAUUUUAUAAGGGCCUUAUGGCACUGAGUGACUGGCCAGUAACCUGGACAAUAAAAUUAAUUGUGGAUAAUAAAAGGUGAUGCA
rnacentral:lncRNA from 1 species